GUAUUAAUAUAAGCACGUCAACACAAUUUGCACCACAUACGUGGCAAAUAAUUGACUUGAAAAGAGCGAUGUUGUUGACUGUCAGAUUCUGAAGCAUUUUCACUGAGAAACACGCGCAGCGUGGAGAGAAGAAUUUGAACCAUCUACACUGAACAACAAUCAACGGGGCGAGUUUGCUGGGAAUAAAAAAAAAUUUGGAAAUCACUCCGACAGAAGUGUUAAACAAGACCAGAUCGCAGUCCGCAGAAUUCCUUGAGUUCCAGUGCUGCUAGUAUUUUUCUUCAACUCUGAUUCCUGAAACUGAAAAUUUUUAAAACUAAUGAGACGAACUGAUUUGAAAUCUCAAAGUGAUUAGCAUUUUUUAACUUUCUGUGUGUUCGUUUCCACGUGAUGAGGUUUGUAAAACAGUUCUUAUCGGCAUAAAAGGUGAUAGUCUUGUUUUUCAACCAUAAUUUAUCCCUUUGUUUGUUGUGUAUUGUAACUCUCGUCAUCUUUUCGCGCCGUUUGUUGACUCGUACUAUUCUUCUCACGGCCACUCCAUAGAGUGCCUGACAUAUUUAAUCGCCGUAACUUCAAAAUAACAUCACUUGAGAUUUUACUGAAUUUAGAAAGAGUGAAUAACUAGACGUACCUUCCUGGUACGCUUCGGCAGCAAAUCAGGCUCGUUUGUUAUCGCCAGGGGUAUAUUGGCUCGACUGCGUGCCAAAAUGGUACGAUUAGGUGAGAACUGGGUGAAAUAUCUAUUAGAUCAUGCAAGAAAGAACACGUGGAUGAUUGUCGCGAGCGCUGGCGCUGGCAAGAAGAGCGAGAGUUUUUCAACAGGCUGUAUUUUAGUGCAAAGCAAAAAGGCAAAAAAGGUUAUGAACUUCAGUGCCUUCAGAGGAUGAAGUCCAACAUCAUAUCACAAUCUGCCGCUUCAAUUAAACAAUGGUCGAAAGUAAAAGUGAGGAUUCUGUUACAACUGCAAAGAGAGCUGAGGAAAAGGAAAGUGGAAAGGGAGCAUGCCUGUAUGUGUCCUCAGCAAAAAGUUCAGAUUCAACAACAAUCAUCAUCAAGAAGCUGGAGACCAUUAGGAUUUACUGUUAACAUUAGGAAUCAAGCAUUGCAUCAGCUUCACAGUUAUGUGCCUCCAUGAGGAUGGCUCUUAUUGUGUUGGAAGACUGUGAAGAAAACAAUUUCAUUGAGACUAUCAAGAAUAAAAGUUUGAAUUCGAUGUAAUCUUCGCUACACCUCAGACCAAAAAGCUCUGCUUUUUCUCCUUUUUCUCUCAACA